GGCCUCCAGACUUCCCCUCGGGCUCCCUCCGCUCGCCGGACCUCUCUGGGAUGUGACCACUCUGGCUGCGAUGUGGUAACUAAAGACAGCAAAUACUGAAGCAGGAAAGAGAAGGUCCUUCUAACAGGAGAGACAUAAUGGCUGACUGGACUUGGGGAGGGAUAGUAAGAGCGACAGUAACAAGCUGUUAAGAGUCUGGAUAUAGUUUGAAGAAAGAGCCCACAGGGUCUGUGCUAACAGAAAUGAAGGACAAUGACAAGAUUUUUGUCUAAGCAACUGAAAAAUGGAGGUACUGGUUUGCUAACAUGAGUGAAAACGAAGUAUGAGGAAGAAAUAUCGGGGGCCCAGUUCUGGGUAGGUUAACUUUGUUAUUAGACAUCUGAGUGGAGAUACUGAGUUAAGGAACCUGGAAUUCAGACGAGAGGUCAGGGCUGAUCAUCAGAUAUAGAUAAUUGUUAAAGGAAUGAAAAAGAAUGAGACUGCCCAGGGACUAAGUGAAGCCAGCGAAGCAGGGAGUCCAAGGACUGAAUGUGGGAUACUCCCAACAUGAGGAGAAAAGAGAACCGGCAAGGGUGACUGGAAA
rnacentral:antisense_RNA from 1 species